UACGUAGGGGGCAAGCGUUGUCCGGAUUUAUUGGGCGUAAAGAGCGUGUAGGCGGCCAGGCAGGUCCGCUGUGAAAACUCGAGGCUCAACCUCGAGAGGUCGGUGGAAACCGUCUGGCUAGAGUCCGGAAGAGGAGAGUGGAAUUCCCGGUGUAGCGGUGAAAUGCGCAGAUAUCGGGAAGAACACCCGUGGCGAAGGCGGCUCACUGGCCCGGUACUGACGCUGAGGUGCGAAAGCGUGGGGAGCAAACAGG
rnacentral:rRNA from 1 species